GAAAUGCUACUUAGUAACUAUCAGGAGAUGAAAUGGCGUAGCUAGUCCCUUUAAGCGACGGACAGCGAGGCCCGGAGCAAAAUCCAUACUACCGGGCCCAGAAGCGGGUAAAAAUGGAACUUAAACCCGUGUUUUUUUAUCAGUACACAGAAAAACUCGUCAAGAGCCGCGAAGUCGACAUGUUAACCUGCUUCGGCCAAGAAUUCAACAUGCAUAACUCGACAGAGAAAGUGUACACAGAUGAGAAGUGGGUCAGCACCAUACCAAAUCUCGUCCUGCGCUCAUGUCCUUCAGAUCUGCUCAACGUCAUACCCGGGUAGCAUUUCACACACCAUCCAGUCCAGAAGGAUGACAUCAUUGGUGGAGUCCAGGCUGCUUUUAUUUCUUCUUUCAUCCACUUGAGUUGUAAUCUCUCUUUUUUUUUUUUUUUUCCAUCCCAGAAGAAUUGUUUUAUACUGUACGUAGGUCCGCUUUGCAUUUAAAAAGUAUAGGGUUUGUUGACGUGGUAUUCAAAUCAUUUCGAUUUAGUUGCAAGUUGUGAAUAAAAAGCAGGUCUGAGCAGGACAAAUCAUUCUCACAAUUAUGUUCAAAACCCCAUUGAAUCCUAAAAACAAAAAACCUAUAAUACAUUUUUUCCUCGAAGCUUACAGAAUUUAGGAAGAUCAAGUGGUCAUGGAAACGGAAGCUUUCAGAUUGCUUUAUAUGUCGUAAGUUUUGUUUGGUAUUUUAUCCUGCGUAUCAUUGCAUUAAAGACUUUUAACUUAGUCAGUCCUGAAAUCAUGCCGAGUUACACGGAAUUUUUACCCAACGAUCUGAAUGUCUUCACUACAUCCGUCUCAGACUUGGUUUGAUCAGCUCUAGUUGUUGAAAUUAACAUAAUUAUUGGUCUUUAAUUGGUUUAUUCUGUAGCUCCAUAAUCUAACACAUCUGUGUUCAUAUCAUAUGGUUUGGGGGGGUAUCCAUAGAUUAUUUACCUUUUCCCCCAUUUACUUUUAUUCCCAGAGAAAGUUAGGGUGUGUGUUUAUAGUGUGUAAUGUAUGUUGGACUUGUGUUUGACCUGUAGCUUCUUAAAUCUCCCAAAUUUUUGUAACCCAGUGCUUGCUAAAUGGCAGAGCGAGCAUUAUAUUGAACUCUCUCUCUCUCUCUCUCUCUCUCUCUCUCUCUCUCUCUCUUUUUAUUUUUUUUUUCUCACACACACUCAUUCUAUGGGCUUUGAGCAUAAAUGGUGUCCACGUACAGGAGGGUAUGUGCAAUACGGUUGUCCGUCCUUUUUUUCCCCUUCGUGUGCUGUUUCCGAGAUAAACGUGUAUAUUGUACAAACAAAGUGACGAGUUGUUUCGUGCGACAAACAACAAAAUCACCAAUGUCUUCCAUUAAAUGAUGUAUAGUUUCAUCCGCUUGUUCGGUAGCGGGAUCUGUCGUGCCAACAUUAUAUGUGGCCAUGCAUGAGCGGACCUGAUGCUUGCAGAGUAGCUGUAGUGAAAUAUAGUAUAUUAACGUUAACACCUAUUAGCCAGUAGUGGAGCAGGUGACGGUGAUGCUGAUUAGCCCGGUGUAGCUUUGAGAAUACUGAGCUUUGGAGAAGGUCUAUUUUUUCUGUGUGUUUGUUGUCUUUUGAUCUUUAGACAAAUUAGCCUGAUCUUAUUGUUUUGUUCUGAUCACUUUACUAGGAAAAAAAUAUUUAUUAGGCAUUUUUGCAGGAAAAAAAAACGCUAGUUUUCUGGGUUUUUUUCUUCAACUAUAUAUAUUUUUGAUCAGUUAUAGAUCAAAGUGGAUUCACAUUUUAGGUAAAAUCAGAGCUGCAAGAGGACAAAUCAAAAUUCCGAUGUUUUUAUGAUGAUAUGAACUUGGUUCUUUUUUGCUAGCUAGCAAAGGACAACCUGACUUAGCGACUAGGUUGUAAAUUAGUGGAAAACUCAAGAGUAUUAAUAAAGUAGCUGUAGUCUAGAGUGGCUUUAAUGCAAGUUUUGUCUCUCUUACAAGGUUAUGGAUGCAUCAGAGUGUUAGCUUAGCUAGUUUUAAUGUAGCACACAUUAUAGAGUUUAGUUUCGUCAGUUAGCAUCUAUAGCCGAUCAAAAUGCGCUGAUGUAGAUAGUCAAAUACCUCAACAACUGGAAUGCAAAGUCUAUUUUUUAGAUUCCAUUGACAAAUAUGCAAGCCUUACAGCGCAUUAUGUUAGAUAUUUAACGUGAGGCUCGAUCCGUGCCCCCUCCCCGCCCCCCCCCACAAAAAAAAAAAUAACGGUUCAUGCCGCCUGUUUUAGUCAGUGUGUUUACUGUCCAGGCUCAUUUCAACCAGGAUAAAAUAAUCCCAGUCGUGCAGCGUCUUGACAUAAGCUUGAUAUAAAGAGAUAUUUGGAGAAAUAACUAAUGGAAUUGAGCAUGUUGCCCAAAGUGUCAUCACCCUGCUCAUGAGAUUAGUUUAAGCACUGCACACAAGAAGGGACCCUGCUGCUAGUCACGUCAUCUUGUCAACAUGAUGUAUUAUACAAUUACAUGUAUAGACAAAAGUUUGUGCACACCUGACCACAAGCAUUUCAGACAUCCAAUUUCAGGUUAAGUCCCCAUUUGCUGUUAUAAUAACCUCCAUUCUUAUGGGAAGAUGUUUCACCAAAUUUUGGAGUGUGCUUGUGGACAUCUUGUGCUUUACAAGGGUGUUAGUAAAGUCAGACACUGAUGUAGGUGAGGUGAGGAAGCCUGGGGUGCUGUCAGUGGUCACAUUCUUUACAACAAGGUUGAGGUCAGAGGUCCAUAGCAGGAGAUCUACCACGCAAACCCACGUCAUGCUAGAACAUGUUGGAUGCGUUAAAGCUAGCACAUCCAAAGACAUCUUAUACACUUGUGUGUGUCCAAAUUUGUGCUAGCAUGAAGAACCACGUGUGGCUGAUAGCUUGUCCAAAUACUGGUUGUCCAUAUUGUGUGUGGGUGUGUAUAUAUAAAAUGAUUCGAUUGCACUGAUUGAACAGAAGGUGACUAAGUCUAACAAACAUGCCUCAUUCAGUAUUGCUCAGUAGUACAUAGUACAAGAAAGUGUUCUUGAAGCAGUUGUGGAGGGAGGGGGAGACAUGGUUUUUACAAUUAAUUUUUUUGGCACGGAUAGACCCUCCUCAUAUACUAGCAAUAAUCUUAUUAUGCAUGAACUCUAUAGUGCCAGAAUGGUGUUUCUGUGGAAUGACCUGUAGCAUAUGUCUAGCCGUGGUGUGCGUUAUGGCAUCGGUGAGUGUUCGUUAUUAACAUUUAUUAUUAAAGUGUACUGGUUCCACUGAUUACCAGGAGUCCAAAAAAAUGAGCUAAUGUGUUCAUUAAACACCAAAAAAAAAAUGCUGUAUGGGAAAGUCAUCAUGAAGAAGAAAAAAAAAAAACGAGAGAAAGUUCUUUAUGCACACUGCAUGUUUUCGAUUACUACAUCAGCAGAAAACGCACAGAUCUCAAUUUUAUGCAGUCGGGAAAAGCAAUAGGAAGCGAUGGCUUGUUAUUUCAGACUCUACAGUACAGAGAACACACUGAAAAUGCAUUUUUCGCCAGUGAAACUGUCUGUGUUUCUGUGGUGGGGGAGGGGGGUUUAAAAUUAGUUACUGCAUGGUAGAAGUGGGUACCACAUGUGUUGUGCUGCAUGCAAUAAUUAAGUUUGCGUGGAGAAAAUAUAAUGCAAAAAUGUGAAGUCAAGCAAGUGGACUGAUUGGUGUGGGUUUUUGGAAUUUUUGUCCCCUCAGUUCAGUAAAAAAAAAAAAAUUUAUUAAUUACUAUAUUUAAAAAAAGACACAAAAUGGUAACACUUACAUUAUUGUAAACCAUUGUGUAUGUACGUCAUUUAUUUAUUUUUUUAAACAUUUAAAUGGCGAUUAUCAAAUUAAAUUAAAAGUAUAGGCUUGUUGAAAUUGCCAUAUGUCAAACCGAUUACUUCUAUGACUUCUACGCAAAUCUCUUCACCCUCCAGUACUAGUUUUCUGUCCAAAAUCCACAAUUCAAAAUUAUAAAACAUUUUGCACCCAAAAGAGGGGCGAAGCUCGAUUGGUUACCAAUCAGUCCAUGUACAUUUUGUUUAAACAGAUCCUGAAAAUAUCCAGUUGCUUUUUAAGAUUAAUAUUAUUUUCUAUUGAUACAUCUAUAUGAUGUCAUUUUUUUUAAUAUAUACUUUUGUCACAGGAUGAGAAAACUGUACAGUAUGUUUGGUUAAAUCUAUGCACUACAGAUGCGUUAAGCAUGCUAAGGUAAACCUCUUGAUUUUGUACACUAAAGAAAAAAUCUGUAUAAGAAAUUUAGCAAUAAAAAGCAGCAUGGUGCCAA